rnacentral:lncRNA from 1 species
GUUAAAAUAGAUAUUAGAGAUUAGCUGGUCCUAAUCUCUUGUUUUAUAGAUGAACCUGGGAGCAGAAGAGCUGAAAUGAUUUGCUUGAGAUCAAACACAGUGACAGGACCACAUUGGAAAUCAGCUUUCCCAACUCCUAAUCUUUUGGAGAAUUGUUUUGAGGGAAAUACUGCUAAUUCAGCUGCACAAAUUGUUCUGCCUAUACCAUCAAACCUGCUAUCAACUUCCUAUCCAACUUGGCUUUUCAUUGUAGUCACUCCAUGGUUGUCAGAUGCAUUUCCUCUUGACUGCUGACUAUGUUGGAUGAAAGGGUAGUUGAGAAGCCCUCAGACUGGUGAUUCAAAACUAGUCAAUAGCAAAGUCUAUUGUGAUUGGCAUUUCCAUUAAGGAGGGUCCAUGAUUGGCAGCUAUUAGAAUAGGUUUUCCCCUAAAACAUGUCAGCAAGUCACUCUACACCUCCAACCUCAUGAAAUCACAAUUUCAUCUUUAUCACUUUUUGUUUCCAUCUUCUCAAUGUUUCUCCUCACAAAAUAGCAGGUGAAUCUAACCUAUAGAGUAGGAGUAGGGAACAUAUCUCUUUGUCUCACUUUGUACAAAACUAAGUUAGUAGUAGCUAAGUUUAGGUGCUAAAUAAAUGCAUUAAAUAAGAAUAGUAUAUAUAUAUA